rnacentral:rRNA from 1 species
AGAGUUUGAUCAUGGCUCAGGAUGAACGCUAGCUACAGGCUUAACACAUGCAAGUCGAGGGGCAGCAUGUUGGUUGCUUGCAACCAAUGAUGGCGACCGGCGCACGGGUGAGUAACGCGUAUCCAACCUACCCUUGUCCAUCGGAUAACCCGUCGAAAGGCGGCCUAACACGAUAUGCGGUUCACAGCAGGCAUCUAAGGUGAACGAAAUGUGAAGGAGAAGGAUGGGGAUGCGUCUGAUUAGCUUGGUUGGCGGGGUAACGCCACAAGGCUACAAUCAGUAGGGGUUCUGAGACGGAAGGUCCCCANAUUGGAACUGAGACACGGUCCAAACGUCCUACGGGAGCA